GGCUCUUUAGCUCAGUUGGUAGAGCAGGGGACUGAAAAUCCCUGUGUCCCCAGUUCAAUUCUGGGAGGAGCCACCA
rnacentral:tRNA from 1 species